rfam:Exophiala mesophila strain CBS 40295 unplaced genomic scaffold supercont1.6, whole genome shotgun sequence.
GCUCCGCUAGCUCAAUGGUAGGGCGUCAGACUUCUAUUUAUGGUAAUCUGAAGGCUGUGGGUUCGAGUCCCACGCGGAGUG